rnacentral:rRNA from 1 species
CCCGCACAAGCGGUGGAGCAUGUGGUUUAAUUCGAAGCAACGCGAAGAACCUUACCAGGUCUUGACAUCCCGAUGCUAUUUCUAGAGAUAGAAAGUUACUUCGGUACAUCGGUGACAGGUGGUGCAUGGUUGUCGUCAGCUCGUGUCGUGAGAUGUUGGGUUAAGUCCCGCAACGAGCGCAACCCCACGUUUAGUUGCUAACGCGUGAAGGCGAGCACUCUAGACGAACUGCCGUUGACAAAACGGAGGAAGGUGGGAUGACGUCAAAUCAUCAUGCCCCUUAUGUUCUGGGCUACACACGUGCUACAAUGGCCGGUACAGACGGACGCAAAGCCGCGAGGUGGAGCAAAUCCUAAAAAGCCGGUCUCAGUUCGGAUUGCAGGCUGCAAUUCGCCUGCAUGAAGUCGGAAUCGCUAGUAAUCGCAGGUCAGCAUACUGCGGUCGAAUACGUUCCCGGGCCUU